rnacentral:rRNA from 1 species
ACGAACGCUGGCGGCGUGCUUAACACAUGCACGUCGAACGGAAAGGCCCUGCUUGCAGGGUGCUCGAGUGGCGAACGGGUGAGUAACACGUGGGUGAUCUGCCCCUUACUUUGGGAUAAGCCUGGGAAACUGGGUCUAAUACUGGAUAGGACAUGCUGUAGGUGGUGUGGUGGAAAGAUUAGUUUCGGUAAGGGAUGAGCCCGCGGCCUAUCAGCUUGUUGGUGGGGUAAUGGCCUACCAAGGCGUCGACGGGUAGCCGGCCUGAGAGGGUGGACGGCCACAUUGGGACUGAGAGACGGCCCAGACUCCUACGGGAGGCAGCAGUGGGGAAUAUUGCACAAUGGGCGCAAGCCUGAUGCAGCGACGCCGCGUGGGGGAUGACGGCCUUCGGGUUGUAAACUCCUUUCAGCCAUGACGAAGCCCUUGUGGUGACGGUAGUGGUAGAAGAAGCACCGGCUAACUACGU